GGGGGUUUUCCACCUCCCCGCACAGCCAACGCGGUCAUUCGGCGCACCAAGCAAGGGCAUCUGCCUUUCGAAUUCUGUACCAUGUACAAACUGUACACAAGUAACUUUUUCUUGUUUUGCUUUUUAGGGCCGCACCCGCGGCACAUGGAGGUUCCCAGGCCAGGGGUCGAAUCAGAGCUACAGCUGCUGGCCACAGUCACAGCCAUAGCCACAUCAGAUCCAAGCUGCGUCUGUGACCUACACCGCGGCUCACGGCAACACCGGAUCCUUAAUCCACCGAGUGGGGGCAGGGAUCGAACCUGUGUCCUCAUGGAUACUAGUUGGCCUUGUUACCGCUGAGCCGCAGUGGAAACUCUGGACAAGUAACUGCUUCAAAGAGACUUUCUUCUUAGGAUCUCACCUUUGCUGCAAAGAAAAACCCAAACAGGCUUUGUGAUUUUAGCCUGUUGUCCCCCCUCCCAGCAGCCUCUCAAGGGUUUAUUUUUGAGAUUCAUUUUUCCCCGAGUAGGAAUCAUGCCUUAGAAAACAAGUCAUUAUCAUGCGUUUGUGUUUUAAAUGACCUGGUUUCUCACUCUGCUCCGUUUAUAAUAUCUUCCGUUCAUUCAUUCCACAAACAGAUGCUCUCCGCCAUCUACAGACAGAGAAUCCUGUUGUGCUGGAGCCAGAAGGGCCGGCUUCGUGGGAGAGCUGGAAACGGACCUGGAACCUCAAGCAGGAACGUCCAUCCCUUUCCCAGCUCCCCCCAGGCCCGCAGGAGGAAGCCUCAGCUGGGAGCCAGCCCAACACCUCUGACACCGGCCGCCCUGCCUUUGGGCGAAGAGGGAGCCGGCCUCGGGCGCGGAGGCUUCCGCAGGCGCCGGUGUCCAGCUGGGAUUUGCUCACACGUCCUUGCACUGGUGUUUAUGGCAGCCCUCCGUUGACGGUAAGUGAAACCAGAUUUCCCAUCAGAGCAGUGGUAGCAAGUUUUGUUUUGAAACAAAGGUGUGUAAGCUCGGGGAAAGCAGCCGGCCUUGGAAAGUGUAUUGCUGAUGGCACGGGGGUUCCAGGGAUUGGGCGAAAGCCGAGGGAGGACUGGAGAGAGGCUGGGAGACACCGACGCAGGAAGGGCCCUGAAGUCCAGUGGGUGCCCCUCAGCAGAGGGCCUGCUCCACUCCUGGGGGGCGUCUGUCCUCCGCCCGGUUCUUGUGCGACCAGCUGACGUCACGGGGAGGAAGGGUGUCCCUGGGCUCUGCGGGGCAGCCACGGAGGGGUGGCUCUCAGGACAGUCCUUGCAUCAGGCUCGGGGGAGGGGACGCUCUCUGCCCUGAUCCCCCUCGGCCGUGAAGGCAGGAGUCUGGGGUGUGCGGUGGCAUUGGUGUCCUUUUAUUCGUUUGGGCUCUUUGGAGAAAUUAAGCCUGAAAAAACAAGCCUCCCCAAAAUAAAACAUUUAAGAUAAGCUGUCCA
rnacentral:lncRNA from 1 species